rnacentral:tRNA from 5 species
UCCCCCUUAGUUCAGUCGGUAGAACGGCGGACUGUUAAUCCGUAUGUCGCUGGUUCGAGUCCAGCAGGGGGAGCCA